rnacentral:rRNA from 1 species
GCGACCGGCGCACGGGUGAGUAACACGUAUCCAACCUGCCGAUAACUCCGGGAUAGCCUUUCGAAAGAAAGAUUAAUACCGGAUAGCAUACGAAUAUCGCAUGAUAUUUUUAUUAAAGAAUUUCGGUUAUCGAUGGGGAUGCGUUCCAUUAGUUUGUUGGCGGGGUAACGGCCCACCAAGACAACGAUGGAUAGGGGUUCUGAGAGGAAGGUCCCCCACAUUGGAACUGAGACACGGUCCAAACUCCUACGGGAGGCAGCAGUGAGGAAUAUUGGUCAAUGGGCGAGAGCCUGAACCAGCCAAGUAGCGUGAAGGAUGAAGGCUCUAUGGGUCGUAAACUUCUUUUAUAUGGGAAUAAAGUAUUCCACGUGUGGAAUUUUGUAUGUACCAUAUGAAUAAGGAUCGGCUAACUCCGUGCCAGCAGCCGCGGUAAUACGGAGGAUCCGAGCGUUAUCCGGAUUUAUUGGGUUUAAAGGGAGCGUAGGUGGAUUGUUAAGUCAGUUGUGAAAGUUUGCGGCUCAACCGUAAAAUUGCAGUUGAAACUGGCAGUCUUGAGUACAGUAGAGGUGGGCGGAAUUCGUGGUGUAGCGGUGAAAUGCUUAGAUAUCACGAAGACUCCGAUUGCGAAGGCAGCUCACUAGACUGUCACUGACACUGAUGCU